CGGACGAGAAGCUUGCUUCUCUGAUGUUAGCGGCGGACGGGUGAGUAACACGUGGAUAACCUACCUAUAAGACUGGGAUAACUUCGGGAAACCGGAGCUAAUACCGGAUAAUAUUUUGAACCGCAUGGUUCAAAAGUGAAAGACGGUCUUGCUGUCACUUAUAGAUGGAUCCGCGCUGCAUUAGCUAGUUGGUAAGGUAACGGCUUACCAAGGCAACGAUGCAUAGCCGACCUGAGAGGGUGAUCGGCCACACUGGAACUGAGACACGGUCCAGACUCCUCGGGAGGCAGCAGUAGGGAAUCUUCCGCAAUGGGCGAAAGCCUGACGGAGCAACGCCGCGUGAGUGAUGAAGGUCUUCGGAUCGUAAAACUCUGUUAUUAGGGAAGAACAUAUGUGUAAGUAACUGUGCACAUCUUGACGGUACCUAAUCAGAAAGCCACGGCUAACUACGUGCCAGCAGCCGCGGUAAUACGUAGGUGGCAAGCGUUAUCCGGAAUUAUUGGGCGUAAAGCGCGCGUAGGCGGUUUUUUAAGUCUGAUGUGAAAGCCCACGGCUCAACCGUGGAGGGUCAUUGGAAACUGGAAAACUUGAGUGCAGAAGAGGAAAGUGGAAUUCCAUGUGUAGCGGUGAAAUGCGCAGAGAUAUGGAGGAACACCAGUGGCGAAGGCGACUUUCUGGUCUGUAACUGACGCUGAUGUGCGAAAGCGUGGGGAUCAAACAGGAUUAGAUACCCUGGUAGUCCACGCCGUAAACGAUGAGUGCUAAGUGUUAGGGGGUUUCCGCCCCUUAGUGCUGCAGCUAACGCAUUAAGCACUCCGCCUGGGGAGUACGACCGCAAGGUUGAAACUCAAAGGAAUUGACGGGGACCCGCACAAGCGGUGGAGCAUGUGGUUUAAUUCGAAGCAACGCGAAGAACCUUACCAAAUCUUGACAUCCUUUGACAACUCUAGAGAUAGAGCCUUCCCCUUCGGGGGACAAAGUGACAGGUGGUGCAUGGUUGUCGUCAGCUCGUGUCGUGAGAUGUUGGGUUAAGUCCCGCAACGAGCGCAACCCUAAGCUUAGUUGCCAUCAUUAAGUUGGGCACUCUAAGUUGACUGCCGGUGACAAACCGGAGGAAGGUGGGGAUGACGUCAAAUCAUCAUGCCCCUUAUGAUUUGGGCUACACACGUGCUACAAUGGACAAUACAAAGGGCAGCGAAACCGCGAGGUCAAGCAAAUCCCAUAAAGUUGUUCUCAGUUCGGAUUGUAGUCUGCAACUCGACUACAUGAAGCUGGAAUCGCUAGUAAUCGUAGAUCAGCAUGCUACGGUGAAUACGUUCCCGGGUCUUGUACACACCGCCCGUCACACCACGAGAGUUUGUAACACCCGAAGCCGGUGGAGUAACCUUUUAGGAGCUA
rnacentral:rRNA from 1 species